rnacentral:rRNA from 1 species
UACGGGGGGAGCAAGCGUUGUUCGGAUUUACUGGGCGUAAAGGGCGCGUAGGCGGCCAGCACAAGUCAGUUGUGAAAUCUCCGGGCUUAACUCGGAAAGGUCAACUGAUACUGUGCGGCUAGAGUGCAGAAGGGGCAACUGGAAUUCCUGGUGUAGCGGUGAAAUGCGCAGAUAUCAGGAGGAACACCGGUGGCGAAGGCGGGUCUCUGGGCCGUAACUGACGCUGAGGAGCGAAAGCGUGGGGAGCGAACAGG